UACAGAGGGUGCAAGCGUUAAUCGGAAUUACUGGGCGUAAAGCGUGCGCAGUCGGUUAUUUAAGUCGGGCGUGAAAGCCCCGGGCUCAACCUGGGAAUUGCGUUCGAUACUGGAUAGCUAGAGUUCGGCAGAGGGAAGCGGAAUUUCGGGUGUAGCGGUGAAAUGCGUAGAUAUCCGAAGGAACAUCAGUGGCGAAAGCGGCUUCCUGGACCAGAACUGACGAUCAGGCACGAAAGCGUGGGGAGCGAACAGG
rnacentral:rRNA from 1 species